rnacentral:rRNA from 1 species
GACAGAGGGUGCAAACGUUGUUCGGAAUUACUGGGCGUAAAGCGCGUGUAGGCGGCUGCGCAAGUCGGGUGUGAAAGCCCUGGGCUCAACCCAGGAAGUGCACUCGAACUGCGUAGCUGGAGUCUCGGAGAGGGAGGCGGAAUUCUGGGUGUAGAGGUGAAAUUCGUAGAUAUCCAGAGGAACACCGGUGGCGAAGGCGGCCUCCUGGACGAGAACUGACGGCUGAGACGGCGAAAGCGUGGGGAGCAAA